rnacentral:pre_miRNA from 1 species
UCUCCAUUUUGCACAGUCUCUCACAGGUCAGAGAGGCGAGAGAGUGUGUGAAAUGGAGAGA